rnacentral:rRNA from 1 species
CGGGUGAGUAACACGUGGAUAACCUACCUAUAAGACUGGGAUAACUUCGGGAAACCGGAGCUAAUACCGGAUAAUAUAUUGAACCGCAUGGUUCAAUAGUGAAAGACGGUUUUGCUGUCACUUAUAGAUGGAUCCGCGCUGCAUUAGCUAGUUGGUAAGGUAACGGCUUACCAAGGCAACGAUGCGUAGCCGACCUGAGAGGGUGAUCGGCCACACUGGAACUGAGACACGGUCCAG